UGUGACAUCAUACACAGCUGAGAGCACUGUGUCCACAGAGCACUUCCUAUCCUUGCGCACUGGGGAGGGCUGUCACAGAUCCUCUGGUCACGGGUGAGAAUGGCGUUGAUCACUUUACUGCUCUGUACACUUCUAUUAGAAGGAAGUUUUGGAAACACAAUUACUCCAAUAUCCGGUGUGGAAAAUGUUAAACAAGGAGAUAAUGUGACCCUCCAGUGCAACUACACGGGUGCUGUAAACAAUUUGCAAUGGUACCGCCAGUAUCCCGGACAGGCUUUGGAGUACCUGCUGAUGAGCUUUGAAACUGGUGGUGGAUCUAAAGCAAACGAGGAAGAACUCCGAAUCUCAGGAGAGGUUGAUAAAGUCAAUAAACACAUGUUUCUAAAACUGAUAGACACUGAAGUGACUGACGCAGCCGUGUACUACUGCGCCCUGAGUCCCACAGUGACAGAAACCCAUCCAGCAGUGUACAAAAACUACCUGACACUGAAACACAAGCUGCUCUUCACAAACUGACAUAUUUUACCAGGAGGUGGCGCUGUUGUGCCAUGAAACAAACUUGUUCAUAAAGUCAAGGUUGUGUACUCUGAAUCUCCAAUGCCUUCCAUAAUAUCCAAUAGAAACCAAAAGGCCCGGUCACACGGGCAACUUAUACACGGCAACAAGAGGAACACAUAUGUUGCGUGCGUGUUGCCUUGCAGUUUGCAGUGGUCACAUGAGAGACAAUCAUGCGGUCGACAAGCUGGCAACACAGAGGCAACAACGUAAUGCAACCCAUAAUGCACGUUUGUGUCACAAGACCUAAACAUGCAGCGAAUGUAAUAAUUACAUUAACAAACGUGUAGAUCCUUCUUAAUUAAAUAAAAAGGUGCACAUCAUUAGAGUUA